CUGACUUUAAUCUCAGAAUUUUGAGGUGGGCACCUGCAGGCAUCCAUCUUCAGUGACAGGGAUGUGUCCAGGUGUGCAGGUGGAGACCUAAUUCACUAAACAUGGUGGAUAUAAGUGAUUUUCUGCGUGGCCGAGGGGUCCCCGAAGAGGCUAUUUUAUUAAUGGAAGAGCAGAAGAUUGACUGUGACGUCAUAGCACUGAUGGAUGACGCAACUUUGGCAAACUACAUUCCCUCAUACGGAGACCGAAUUGCCCUCUUCAAUUUCUG